rnacentral:rRNA from 1 species
AUUGAACGCUGGCGGCAGGCUUAACACAUGCAAGUCGAGCGGAGAUGAGGUGCUUGCACCUUAUCUUAGCGGCGGACGGGUGAGUAAUGCUUAGGAAUCUGCCUAUUAGUGGGGGACAACAUUCCGAAAGGAAUGCUAAUACCGCAUACGCCCUACGGGGGAAAGCAGGGGAUCUUCGGACCUUGCGCUAAUAGAUGAGCCUAAGUCGGAUUAGCUAGUUGGUGGGGUAAAGGCCUACCAAGGCGACGAUCGGUAGCGGGUCUGAGAGGAUGAUCCGCCACACUGGGACUAGGACACGGCCCAGACUCCUACGGGAGGCAGCAGUGGGGAAUAUUUGACAAUGGGCGGAAGCCUGAUCCAGCCAUGCCGCGUGUGUGAAGAAGGCCUUUUGGUUGUAAAGCACUUUAAGCGAGGAGGAGGCUACCUGGAUUAAUACUCUAGGAUAGUGGACGUUACUCGCAGAAUAAGCACCGGCUAACUCUGUGCCAGCAGCCGCAGUAAAAC